rnacentral:tRNA from 1 species
GCCCCGGUAGCUCAGUCGGUAGAGCAGGGGACUGAAAAUCCCCGUGUCGGCGGUUCAAUUCCGUCCUGGGGCA